UCCAAAGGAAGUUGCUCUUGGACUCAACGUGGUACUCAGCAAAUUCCCCCUCGUUAGCUUCCGGGAGGGCGCCGCUCUUUUGCGGGUCAGAGUUUCCAUCGAGGUGGUUGUGGACACAGCAAGAUCUUCAGCAGUAGCCCAGACACUCUGCACACUUGGAGUGGACCUGACCCUAGGACUCAAGCUGAAGGUAUCGCGAACAAACAUUGGCUUCUCAGUUGGCUUGCAAGGAGGGGUUGGUCUGCAGGUAGAUUCUUCAAGCGUGAAAAUCACAAAG